UAGGUAUUGUCCUAUUUAGAUAUGUUGACGGAGCAAGUGUACACUUAGCAAGUAACCAGACUCGAUCGAGUAUAAUUGAGUCCAAGAUUAUAAUUCAAGAUUAGAUACGCUAUCCCAAAACAUAUUUGACCAAUUGUCUUUCGGGUCCUAAAAGGUCCAUGACAAGUCUUAAAUCUCCCUCACAAUGGGGAAGUAGGGGCAACCAGCGAAGAAUUUAAAGCAACACUGGACAUGAAAGCAAUAAAGGUCCUUGAAUGCAGCAGAUCACAGCAAAAUAGGUGUACAAGUGCAUGCACGGUGAAUUUGUCAAACAGAAUGGGCUAUGGCAAGAGGACCCCUCAACCGGCCAAAAAACAGAUUGUGGGGACUUGUCCUGUCCCUGCCAGGAUGCCUAGUCACUAUCGUUGCAUUUUCUAGAAGCAGCAGUUCACAUCCUGUUCAGUACGAAUCCCAUAAUUCCCAACGGCUAUGAUUUUGACCCCUCUUCUAAGUGUAGUGUAUUCAGCGGACUAAAUAAUUCAUAAGUAAUAACACUGCUCAGUCGAACUUUGCGUUCCCAUGUGAGAGCUCGUGGUUCGGG
rnacentral:lncRNA from 1 species